rnacentral:rRNA from 1 species
GAUGAACGCUGACAGAAUGCUUAACACAUGCAAGUCUACUUGAACUUCGGUUUGGGUGGCGGACGGGUGAGUAACGCGUAAAGAACUUGCCUCACAGUUAGGGACAACAUUUGGAAACGAAUGCUAAUACCUGAUAUUAUGAUUUUAGGGCAUCCUAAGAUUAUGAAAGCUAUAUGCGCUGUGAGAGAGCUUUGCGUCCCAUUAGCUAGUUGGAGAGGUAACGGCUCACCAAGACGAUGAUGGGUAGCCGGCCUGAGAGGGUGAACGGCCACAAGGGGACUGAGACACGGCCCUUACUCCUACGGGAGGCAGCAGUGGGGAAUAUUGGACAAUGGACCAAAAGUCUGAUCCAGCAAUUCUGUGUGCACGAUGACGUUUUUCGGAAUGUAAAGUGCUUUCAGUUGGGAAGAAAAAAAUGACGGUACCAACAGAAGAAGUGACGGCUAACUCCGUGCCAGCAGCCGCGGUAAUACGGAGGGUGCGAGCGUUAAUCGGAAUAACUGGGCGUAAAGGGCACGCAGGCGGUGACUUAAGUGAGGUGUGAAAGCCCCGGGCUUAACCUGGGAAUUGCAUUUCAUACUGGGUCGCUAGAGUACUUUAGGGAGGGGUAGAAUUCCACGUGUAGCGGUGAAAUGCGUAGAGAUGUGGAGGAAUACCGAAGGCGAAGGCAGCCCCUUGGGAAUGUACUGACGCUCAUGUGCGAAAGCGUGGGGAGCAAACAGG